rnacentral:rRNA from 1 species
CACGUAGGGUGCGAGCGUUGUCCGGAAUUAUUGGGCGUAAAGAGCUCGUAGGCGGUGUGUCGCGUCGGCCGUGAAAACCUGCAGCUUAACUGUGGGCUUGCGGUCGAUACGGGCAUCACUGGAGUUCGGCAGGGGAGACUGGAAUUCCUGGUGUAGCGGUGAAAUGCGUAGAGAUCAUGAGGAAGACCAGUGGCGAAGGCGGGUCUCUGGACAAGUUC